UUCCGGUUGAUCCCGCCGGACCUGACUGCUAUCGGAUUGAUACUAAGCCAUGCGAGUCAUUGCAGCAAUGCAAGGCAGACGGCUCAGUAACGCGUAGUCAACCUAACCUAUGGACGGGAAUAACCUCGGGAAACUGAGUAUAAUGCCCGAUAGAACACUAUACCUGGAAUGGUUUGUGUUCCAAAUGAUUUAUCGCCGUAGGAUGGGACUGCGGCCUAUCAGUUUGUUGGUGAGGUAAUGGCCCACCAAGACUAUUACAGGUACGGGCUCUGAGAGGAGUAGCCCGGAGAUGGGUACUGAGACACGGACCCAGGCCCUAUGGGGCGCAGCAGGCGAGAAAACUUUGCAAUGUGCGAAAGCACGACAAGGUUAAUCCGAGUGGUUUCUGCUAAAGGAACCUUUUGUUAGUCCUAGAAACACUAACGAAUAAGGGGUGGGCAAGUUCUGGUGUCAGCCGCCGCGGUAAAACCAGCACCUCAAGUGGUCAGGAUGAUUAUUGGGCCUAAAGCAUCCGUAGCCGGCUCUGUAAGUUUUCGGUUAAAUCUGUACGCUCAACGUACAGGCUGCCGGGAAUACUGCAGAGCUAGGGAGUGGGAGAGGUAGACGGUACUCGGGAGGAAGGGGUAAAAUCCUUUGAUCUAUUGAUGACCACCUGUGGCGAAGGCGGUCUACCAGAACACGUCCGACGGUGAGGGAUGAAAGCUGGGGGAGCAAACCGGAUUAGAUACCCGGGUAGUCCCAGCUGUAAACUAUGCAAACUCAGUGAUGCAUUGGCUUGUGGCCAAUGCAGUGCUGCAGGGAAGCCGUUAAGUUUGCCGCCUGGGAAGUACGUACGCAAGUAUGAAACUUAAAGGAAUUGGCGGGGGAGCACCACAAGGGGUGAAGCCUGCGGUUCAAUUGGAUUCAACGCCGGG
rnacentral:rRNA from 2 species